UGAGUUGACGCUUGAACAAUACAACCGAUAUUUCUGGAACUCGCCGAAAUGCAGAAUUUGCAGCAAAAACAGUUUAAACCAGUAAACAGAAUUUUCUGCACAAUUUCCAUAUCAGACCCUCAACUUCAAACUGGUCUCCAGAUCUCAAUUCUCAGUCAAAUUCCACGAAUUUGACACCAUAACGAAGGUAAUUCUGUCAGCUUUCCAGACAUGUAAAUACCAUUCAAAACCAAGUUACGGUUUGACAGAUACAGAUUAAUUACUGAACACAGGUCCUACGAAAAUUAUGCAGAAUUUCUUACCUAUCUAAUUCUAACUUUCUCCAAUUCUGUUUCCACAGACUUCCAUUCAUUCCUCAACCAACAAUGAUUCUUUAUAAUAACCUCAACUUGAUUUUCCAAACAUCC
rnacentral:lncRNA from 1 species